GACAGAGGGGGCAAGCGUUGCUCGGAAUCACUGGGCGUAAAGGGCGCGUAGGCGGGAUGGCAAGUCAGUCGUGAAAUCUCUCGGCUCAACCGAGAAACGUCGGCUGAUACUGCCGUUCUUGAGGGAUGCAGAGGAGACUGGAAUUCCCGGUGUAGCGGUGAAAUGCGUAGAGAUCGGGAGGAACACCGGCGGCGAAGGCGGCUGCCUGGACCAGUCCUGACGCUGAGGCGCGAAAGCUAGGGGAGCAAACAGG
rnacentral:rRNA from 1 species